UACGUAGGGACCAAGCGUUGUCCGGAAUCAUUGGGCGUAAAGAGCGUGUAGGCGGCUUGUUAAGUCUUGCGUGAAAUCUCGGGGCUCAACCCCGAGCGGUCGUGAGAAACUGGCAGGCUAGAGUGCGGGAGAGGAGAGUGGAAUUCCUGGUGUAGCGGUGAAAUGCGCAGAUAUCAGGAGGAACACCGGUGGUGUAAACGGCUUUCUGGACCGUAACUGACGCUGAUGCACGAAAGCGUGGGUAGCAAACAGG
rnacentral:rRNA from 1 species